rnacentral:tRNA from 1 species
GCCAUCUUAGCUCAGUGGUAGAGCAACGGUUUCGUAAACCGUAGGUCCGGGGUUCAAAUCCCCGAGAUGGCU